GAACAUUGAAACAGGCUAGGAAAACUGAUUGGAUAGAAAAUAUUACUCUAUUCAUUUAUCUCCUAGCCUACAAA
ensembl:miRNA